rnacentral:rRNA from 1 species
UACGAAGGGGGCUAGCGCUGUUCGGAUUUACUGGGCGUAAAGCGCACGUAGGCGGGUUGUUAAGUCAGGGGUGAAAUCCUGGAGCUCAACUCCAGAACUGCCUUUGAUACUGGCAACCUAGAAGCUGGAAGAGGUUAGUGGAAUUCCCAGUGUAGAGGUGAAAUUCGUAGAUAUUGGGAAGAACACCAGUGGCGAAGGCGGCUAACUGGUCCAGAUCUGACGCUGAGGUGCGAAAGCGUGGGGAGCAAACAGG